GACGAACGCUGGCGGCGUGCCUAAUACAUGCAAGUUGAGCGCUGAAGGUUGGUACUUGUACCAACUGGAUGAGCAGCGAACGGGUGAGUAACGCGUGGGGAACCUGCCUUUGAGCGGGGGACAACAUUUGGAAACGAAUGCUAAUACCGCAUAAAAACUUUAAACACAAGUUUUAAGUUUGAAAGAUGCAAUUGCAUCACUCAAAGAUGAUCCCGCGUUGUAUUAGCUAGUUGGUGAGGUAAAGGCUCACCAAGGCGAUGAUACAUAGCCGACCUGAGAGGGUGAUCGGCCACAUUGGGACUGAGACACGGCCCAAACUCCUACGGGAUCAGCAGUAGGGAAUCUUCGGCAAUGGACGAAAGUCUGACCGAGCAACGCCGCGUGAGUGAAGAAGGUUUUCGGAUCGUAAAACUCUGUUGGUAGAGAGGAACGUUGGUAGAGUU
rnacentral:rRNA from 1 species